rnacentral:rRNA from 1 species
AGCUCAAAUUUGAAAUCUGGCGUCCUCAGGGCGUCCGAGUUGUAAUCUAUAGAGGCGUUUUCCGUGCCGGACCGUGUCCAAGUUCCUUGGAACAGGAUAUCAAAGAGGGUGACAAUCCCGUACUUGACACGACGACCGGUGCUCUGUGAUACGUCUUCUACGAGUCGAGUUGUUUGGGAAUGCAGCUCAAAAUGGGUGGUGAGUUCCAUCUAAAGCUAAAUAUUGGCGAGAGACCGAUAGCGAACAAGUACCGUGAGGGAAAGAUGAAAAGCACUUUGGAAAGAGAGUUAAACAGUACGUGAAAUUGUUGAAAGGGAAACGAUUGAAGUCAGUCGUGACCGAGAGGCUCAGCCGGUUCUGCCGGUGUAUUCCCCUCGGUCGGGUCAACAUCAGUUUUGUCCGGUGGAUAAGGGCGGUAGGAAGGUGGCACCCUCGGGUGUGUUAUAGCCUGCCGUCGCAUACAUCGGGUGAGACUGAGGAACGCAGCUCGCCUUUAUGGCCGGGGUUCGCCCACGUCCGAGCUUAGGAUGUUGACAUAAUGGCUUUAAACGACCCGUCUUG